GGUUAGAGAGAGAGAGGUUACUUACUACACAGUGUAAUGGGUAAGAGAGAGAGAGGUUACUUACUAGACAGUGUAAUGGGGUAGAGAGAGAGAGGUUACUUACUAGACAGUGUAAUGGGUUAGAGAGAGAGAGAGAGAGGUUACUUACUAGACAGUGUAAUGGGUUAGAGAGAGAGGUUACUUACUAGACAGUGUAAUGGGUUAGAGAGAGAGGUUACUGACUAGACAGUGUAACGGGUUAGAGAGAGAGGUUACUUACUAGACAGUGUAAUGGGUUAGAGAGAGAGAGAGUUUACUUACUAGA
rnacentral:lncRNA from 1 species